GGCCUCGCUGCUCAGUUGGUUAAAGCGCUGGCUGUACUAAAGCCUUCCCUUGCUGGCAUGGGUUCGAAUCCUACCGAGGCCA
rnacentral:tRNA from 1 species